AACGAACGCUGGCGGCAUGCCUAACACAUGCAAGUCGAACGAAGCCUUCGGGCUUAGUGGCGCACGGGUGCGUAACGCGUGGGAAUCUGCCCUUAGGUACGGAAUAACUCAUGGAAACGUGUGCUAAUACCGUAUGAUGUCUUCGGACCAAAGAUUUAUCGCCUAGGGAUGAGCCCGCGUUGGAUUAGCUAGUUGGUGAGGUAAAGGCUCACCAAGGCGACGAUCCAUAGCUGGUCUGAGAGGAUGAUCAGCCACACUGGGACUGAGACACGGCCCAGACUCCUACGGGAGGCAGCAGUGGGGAAUAUUGGACAAUGGGCGAAAGCCUGAUCCAGCAAUGCCGCGUGAGUGAAGAAGGCCUUCGGCGUGUAAAGACUCUUUUACCCGGGUAACGGAGUAAUAGACUGUACCGGGACGGAAUAAAGACCCGGCCGUAACUACCGUGCCACGCAGCCGCGGUAAACUACGUCUCUA
rnacentral:rRNA from 1 species